rnacentral:rRNA from 1 species
CAUACUGCCGUGAAUACGUUCCCGGGCCCUUGUACACACCGCCCGUCACACCAUGAGAGUUGGGAAUACCCGAAGCCUGUGAGCUAACUUUACGAGGCAGCAGUCGAAGGUAGAAUCAAUGAUUGGGGUGAAGUCGUAACAAGGUACC